rnacentral:rRNA from 1 species
AACCCAAACUAAUAGGCCCACGGCGUAAAACGUGUUAGAGAACCCCCACCACUAAAGUUAAAACCUGGCCAGGCCGUAAAAAGCAACUGCCAACAUAAAAUAAACUACGAAAGUGACUUUAUUAUCCCUAAUUACACGAUAGCUAAGAUCCAAACUGGGAUUAGAUACCCCACUAUGCCUAGCCCUAAACAUAAAUAAUUAAUAUAACAAAAUUAUUUGCCAGAGAACUACUAGCAACAGCUUAAAACUCAAAGGACUUGGCGGUGCUUUACAUCCCUCUAGAGGAGCCUGUUCUAUAAUCGAUAAACCCCGAUAAACCUCACCAUCUCUAGCUAAAU